rnacentral:lncRNA from 1 species
CCAUAUUCAUAAAUCCAUUUGAUAGAAAAAUACCCAAAAAAUCAAAACUUUCUUUAAAAAAUAAAGUGUUAAAUUUAUUAUCCAACAUAGUGUAGUGAGGCAAUAUGAUCAAUUUCACAUAUGGCAUUAGUUUCUUACACACCAAAGUAUCUUUUCUGUUUAACAAACAGAAGAAUAAAACUGCUAAGGUUAAACAAUGAAACCACGCAGCGACAGACACACCAAAGAACAAAACUCCAAAACAUGGUAAAGAUGAAAUCACAAAUUAGCAAUUAAAAAAGAAGAAAAACUGAGCGAUUAACAAAAUGGCCUUGAAUUUCGUUUCCCUUUUAGGUUUUGCCCCUUUUCUGUCCGACCUGAGCAAUUGGGCCGUCGCUGAGACUUAAAUUUGUACCAAAAAAAAUAAAUUUGUAGUCACAAAUGAAAGGCAUUGAAUGAAAAUCAAAUUGCUCAUAUUCAUUCUAAGAUUCAUACUUUUUUUUUUUGAAACGGCAUUAUAUAUAUAUAUAUAUAUAUAU